UAACACAUGCAAGUCGAGCGAGGAGAUUCCUUCGGGAUGAUCCUAGCGGCGGACGGGUGAGUAACACGUGGGCAACCUGCCUCAUAGAGAGGAAUAGCCUUCCGAAAGGGAGAUUAAUACCUCAUAACAUUGCAGUUUCGCAUGGAACAGCAAUUAAAGGAGCAAUCCGCUAUGAGAUGGGCCCGCGGCGCAUUAGCUAGUUGGUGAGGUAACGGCUCACCAAGGCGACGAUGCGUAGCCGACCUGAGAGGGUGAUCGGCCACAUUGGGACUGAGACACGGCCCAGACUCCUACGGGAGGCAGCAGUGGGGAAUAUUGCACAAUGGGGGAAACCCUGAUGCAAGCAACGCCGCGUGAGUGAUGACGGCCUUCGGGUUGUAAAGCUCUGUCUUCAGGGACGAUAAUGACGGUACCUGAGGAGGAAGCCACGGCUAACUACGUGCCAGCAGCCGC
rnacentral:rRNA from 1 species